UCACUGACAUUAGAUACCCGUGUAGUCCAGGGUGUAAACGCUGCAGACUUGGUGUUUGGAGGCCCUUUGGGGGCAUUCAGUGCCGGAGAGAAGUUGUUAAGUCUGCUACUUGGGGAGUACGUCCGCAAGGAUGAAACUUAAAGGAAUUGGCGGGGGAGCACCGCAACGGGAGGAGCGUGCGGUUUAAUUGGAUUCAACACCGUAAAACUCACCAGGGAAGACUGUUACAUGAAGGCCGAGAUGAAGACUCUGCUAGAUUUUCAG
rnacentral:rRNA from 1 species